AUUGAACGCUGGCGGCAUGCCUUACACAUGCAAGUCGAACGGCAGCACGGGAGCAAUCCUGGUGGCGAGUGGCGAACGGGUGAGUAAAGUAUCGGAACGUGCCCAGUCGUGGGGGAUAACGUAGCGAAAGUUACGCUAAUACCGCAUACGAUCUAUGGAUGAAAGCGGGGGAUCGCAAGACCUCGCGCGAUUGGAGCGGCCGAUAUCAGAUUAGGUAGUUGGUGGGGUAAAGGCUCACCAAGCCGACGAUCUGUAGCUAGUCUGAGAGGACGACCAGCCACACUGGAACUGAGACACGGUCCAGACUCCUACGGGAGGCAGCAGUGGGGAAUUUUGGACAAUGGGAGCAAGCCUGAUUCAGCAAUGCCGCGUGCAGGAUGAAGGCCUUCGGGUUGUAAACUGCUUUUGUACGGAACGAAACGGUGAGCUCUAAUACAGUUUGCUAAUGACGGUACCGUAAGAAUAAGCACCGGCUAACUACGUGCCAGCAGCCGCAGUAA
rnacentral:rRNA from 1 species